GCGUACUUAGCUCAAUCGUCAGAGCAUCACUCAUGAAUGCUGAGGUUGUGGGUUUGAGUCCCACAGUACACA
rnacentral:tRNA from 2 species